AGAGUUUGAUCAUGGCUCAGAUUGAACGCUGGCGGCAGGCCUAACACAUGCAAGUCGAACGGUAACAGGAAACAGCUUGCUGUUUCGCUGACGAGUGGCGGACGGGUGAGUAAUGUCUGGGAAACUGCCUGAUGGAGGGGGAUAACUACUGGAAACGGUAGCUAAUACCGCAUAACGUCGCAAGACCAAAGAGGGGGACCUUCGGGCCUCUUGCCAUCGGAUGUGCCCAGAUGGGAUUAGCUUGUUGGUGGGGUAACGGCUCACCAAGGCGACGAUCCCUAGCUGGUCUGAGAGGAUGACCAGCCACACUGGAACUGAGACACGGUCCAGACUCCUACGGGAGGCAGCAGUGGGGAAUAUUGCACAAUGGGCGCAAGCCUGAUGCAGCCAUGCCGCGUGUAUGAAGAAGGCCUUCGGGUUGUAAAGUACUUUCAGCGGGGAGGAAGGGAGUAAAGUUAAUACCUUUGCUCAUUGACGUUACCCGCAGAAGAAGCACCGGCUAACUCCGUGCCAGCAGCCGCGGUAAUACGGAGGGUGCAAGCGUUAAUCGGAAUUACUGGGCGUAAAGCGCACGCAGGCGGUUUGUUAAGUCAGAUGUGAAAUCCCCGGGCUCAACCUGGGAACUGCAUCUGAUACUGGCAAGCUUGAGUCUCGUAGAGGGGGGUAGAAUUCCAGGUGUAGCGGUGAAAUGCGUAGAGAUCUGGAGGAAUACCGGUGGCGAAGGCGGCCCCCUGGACGAAGACUGACGCUCAGGUGCGAAAGCGUGGGGAGCAAACAGGAUUAGAUACCCUGGUAGUCCACGCCGUAAACGAUGUCGACUUGGAGGUUGUGCCCUUGAGGCGUGGCUUCCGGAGCUAACGCGUUAAGUCGACCGCCUGGGGAGUACGGCCGCAAGGUUAAAACUCAAAUGAAUUGACGGGGGCCCGCACAAGCGGUGGAGCAUGUGGUUUAAUUCGAUGCAACGCGAAGAACCUUACCUGGUCUUGACAUCCACAGAACUUUCCAGAGAUGGAUUGGUGCCUUCGGGAACUGUGAGACAGGUGCUGCAUGGCUGUCGUCAGCUCGUGUUGUGAAAUGUUGGGUUAAGUCCCGCAACGAGCGCAACCCUUAUCCUUUGUUGCCAGCGGUCCGGCCGGGAACUCAAAGGAGACUGCCAGUGAUAAACUGGAGGAAGGUGGGGAUGACGUCAAGUCAUCAUGGCCCUUACGACCAGGGCUACACACGUGCUACAAUGGCGCAUACAAAGAGAAGCGACCUCGCGAGAGCAAGCGGACCUCAUAAAGUGCGUCGUAGUCCGGAUUGGAGUCUGCAACUCGACUCCAUGAAGUCGGAAUCGCUAGUAAUCGUGGAUCAGAAUGCCACGGUGAAUACGUUCCCGGCCUUGUACACACCGCCCGUCACACCAUGGGAGUGGGUUGCAAAAGAAGUAGGUAGCUUAACCUUCGGGAGGGCGCUUACCACUUUGUGAUUCAUGACUGGGGUGAAGUCGUAACAAGGUAACCGUAGGGGAACCUGCGGUUGGAUCACCU
rnacentral:rRNA from 1 species